GAUGAACGCUGACAGAAUGCUUAACACAUGCCAGUCCACUUGAAUUUGGGUUUUUACCUUAGGUUUGGGUGGCGGACGGGUGAGUAACGCGUAAAGAACUUGCCUCACAGCUAGGGACAACAUUUGGAAACGAAUGCUAAUACCUAAUAUUAUGAUAAUAGGGCAUCCUAUAAUUAUGAAAGCUAUAAGCGCUGUGAGAGAGCUUUGCGUCCCAUUAGCUAGUUGGAGAGGUAACGGCUCACCAAGGCGAUGAUGGGUAGCCGGCCUGAGAGGGUGAUCGGCCACAAGGGGACUGAGACACGGCCCUUACUCCUACGGGAGGCAGCAGUGGGGAAUAUUGGACAAUGGACCGAGAGUCUGAUCCAGCAAUUCUGUGUGCACGAUGAAGUUUUUCGGAAUGUAAAGUGCUUUCAGUUGGGAAGAAACAAAUGACGGUACCAACAGAAGAAGGGACGGCUAAAUACGU
rnacentral:rRNA from 1 species